CGCCAGACUCCUACGGGAGGCAGCAGUGGGGAAUAUUGCACAAUGGGGGGAACCCUGAUGCAGCAACGCCGCGUGGGUGAAGGAGCGUUUCGGCGCGUAAAGCCCUGUCAGCGGGGAAGAAGAAAGACGGUACCCGACCAAGAAGCCCCGGCUAACUACGUGCCAGCAGCCGCGGGAAUACGUAGGGGGCGAGCGUUAUCCGGAAUUACUGGGUGUAAAGGGAGCGUAGACGGCGAGGUAAGCCUGAAGUGGAAGCCCGCGGCCCAACCGCGGAACUGCUUUGGGAACUGUUUUGCUGGAGUAUGGGAGGGGUAAGCGGAAUUCCUGGUGUAGCGGUGAAAUGCGUAGAUAUCAGGAGGAACACCGGUGGCGAAGGCGGCUUACUGGACCAUAACUGACGUUGAGGCUCGAAAGCGUGGGGAGCAAACAGGAUUAGAUACCCUCGUAUAA
rnacentral:rRNA from 1 species